rnacentral:tRNA from 1 species
GGCAACUUGCCAGAGUGGUUAAUGGGUGAGACUUGAAUUCAGUUCAUGUCAUCUCAUGGGCUUCGCCCGCACAGGUUCGAACCCUGUAGUUGUCG